AAGUCGUAACAAGGUUUCCGUAGGUGAACCUGCGGAAGGAUCAUUACAAAUCUUGAGUUGGUCUCCUUGGUGGGCUGACACAUUAGCACAAGGCCGCAAGGUCUUGAUGUUUACGCUUGUAUGUUUGACAGAGUUAAAUUGUGACGUUAAAAAUGACAACUUUUAACAACGGAUCUUGGCUCUU
rnacentral:misc_RNA from 1 species